rnacentral:rRNA from 1 species
GACGAACGCUGGCGGCGUGCUUAACACAUGCAAGUCGAACGGAAAGGCCCUGCUUUUGUGGGGUGCUCGAGUGGCGAACGGGUGAGUAACACGUGAGUAACCUGCCCUUGACUUUGGGAUAACUUCAGGAAACUGGGGCUAAUACCGGAUAGGAGCUCCUGCUGCAUGGUGGGGGUUGGAAAGUUUCGGCGGUUGGGGAUGGACUCGCGGCUUAUCAGCUUGUUGGUGGGGUAGUGGCUUACCAAGGCUUUGACGGGUAGCCGGCCUGAGAGGGUGACCGGCCACAUUGGGACUGAGAGACGGCCCAGAGUCGUACGGGAGGCAGCAGUGGGGAAUAUUGUACAAUGGGCGGAAGCCUGAUGCAGCAACGCCGCGUGCGGGAUGACGGCCUUCGGGUUGUAAACCGCUUUCGCCUGUGACGAAGCGUGAGUGACGGUAAUGGGUAAAGAAGCACCGGCUAACUACGUG